rnacentral:rRNA from 1 species
UACGGGGGGGGCAAGCGUUGUUCGGAAUUACUGGGCGUAAAGGGUCUGUAGGUGGCCAACUAAGUCAGACGUGAAAUCCCUCAGCUUAACUGGGGAACUGCGUCUGAUACUGGUUGGCUUGAGUGCAGGAGAGGAAUGCGGAAUUCCAGGUGUAGCGGUGAAAUGCGUAGAUAUCUGGAGGAACACCGGUGGCGAAGGCGGCAUCCUGGACUACUACUGACGCUGAGGAGCGAAAGCCAGGGGAGCAAACGGG